rnacentral:lncRNA from 1 species
AUUUCUUGGGCUGCUCCCACGGCAUAUGGAGGUUCCCAGGCUAGGAGUCAACCAGAGCUGUAGCCACCAGCCUACGUCACAGUCACAGCAACACGGGCUCUGAGUUGCAUCUGUGACUUACACCACAGCUCAUGGCAAUGCUGGAUCCUUAACCCACUGAGCAAGGCCUUGGAUUGAACCCGCAACCUCAUGGUUCCUGGUUGGAUUCGUUAACCACUGAGCCAUGAUGGGAACUCUGGAAGUAUAGAGAAAUAUAAAGACAAGUAACAUUGUACAAACUAUGUGUGCUUACUAAAAGUACUGUAAAAGUUAUAUUUGCAGGAAGCAAAUAAAUACAGACAAAAAGAAUCAAAUGUGCAUAUAUGACCUAGAUAAUAGUGAACAAGAAAUUAAUUAAAAACAUAUUACCACAUUUAAUUAAGAAAUUUAUUGCUGCACCUGGAGCAUAUGGGAGUUCCUGGGCCAGGGGUUGAAUCUGAGCUGCAGCUGAGACCUACGCUGGUUCCUUUAACCUGCUGCAUGGCAGGAUUGAAACUGCACCUGCUCAGUGACCAGAGCCAUUGCUAUUGGGUUCAUAACCCACUGUGCCACAGUGGGAACUCCUAAUUAAUUUUAACAUAUGUAUAUUUAAACUUUCUUUUUUAAACGUAUAUGUAUUUUUUCUUUUUAAAAAUAGAUCAUCAUCUGAGGAGAGUGAGCAGGAGAAAUUCAGGCUCAGUCAAGAAAUAAAUAAACAACACAAAGAAUGACAAGAGUAGACACAACUUUAACGAAGAGAAAUUUAAAGUAAAUACCACACACUGAUACUGAUUUACACGGUACCAAAAAUUGGAAAACAGAGACUAAACAGACUAUUAUCCAGAAAAACACCUUAACCAAAAUUGUCUCAGGAAAAUCUGUUUUAUGGAGCAAACCGUAAUUUGAAAAGAUACAUGUAUCCCAUUGUUCACUGCAGCACUAUUCCCAAAAGCCAAGACAUGGGAGGAACCUAAGUAUUCAUUAGCAAAGGACUGGAGAAGGAAGAUGUGGAGAAGAGGCCACCACUCAGCCACAGAAAAGCAUGAAGAAGUGCCACUGGCAGCAGCGUGGAUGGCUCUGGAGGUUAUCAUGCCAACCAAAGUAGUCAGAGAAAGACAAAUAUCAUAUAGUAUCACUUACACGUAGAAUCUAAAAAAAGAUACAAAUGAAAUUGUUUACAAAACAGAAGUGAACUCACAGACAUGGAGAGUAAACUUACGGUUACCAAUGGGAAAAGAGAGAGAAGGAAUAAAUUGAGAAUUUGGGAUUCACACACACACACACACACACUACUGUACAUAAAAUAGAUAAACACGGUCCUACUGUAUAGCCCAGGGAACUAUACUCAGUAUCGUGUAUGAACCUAUAAUAGAAAAGACCCUGAAUCUCUUUGCUGUGCUUCUGAAAGUAACACAACAUUGUAAAUCAACUACACUGCAAUUAAAAAAGAAAAUUUUUCUUUUAAAAAACUUAAACCAAUAACAUUUAAAGGAAACACGUUUAUUCUGUCCUUCAAAUGACAAGAGUUGACUUUUUUUUAACACACAACUUCUAACAAAUCAUCAUGACAAACUAUUCCAAGAACAUAGCAAAAUAAAAUUAUGCAACUUAUUUUAUGAGGCAAAUAUAGAUUUCCUCAUAAAACACUAAAUCUACACAAGGAAAAUAAAAAUCUAGAACAAUUUUACCCUUGAACAUAUUUUUUAAGAAAUCCCACCAAAAAAUAGUGACUACAGCAGUAUUUAAAGAAAAUAGAGCAUGAACAGGUGGGAUUUAUCACAGGAAUGCAAUAUUGUCUAUUACUGCAAUUGCUCAUAUUAAUAAGGUAAAUGAAAGAAACAGCAUUAUAUAUGGCACCACAAAUGCAGAAAAAGCAGUCAAAAUCCUUGUGGACACUGAUGACAAUAAUUUUUAUUAGCAAACUAGAUAGGAGGUUUUUUUUUUUUAACUGUAAAAAUAUCUGUUGAGAUGGGAUUAAGAUUGCAGAACAGAAGACUGGAGCUCAGCUUCUCUCAUAAAAACAACAAAAUUACAACCAAAUGCUGAACAACCUUCAACCAGAUACACUGGAGACUUUCAAAACAGAUAUCCUACUCUAGAAGACAAAGAGGAGGUCACGUCAAGGUGGCAGGAGGGGUGGUUACGUGAUAUAAGCAACCCCAUCCAUACACGCCGGGUGGGCAGCCCACAGACUGGAGAGUAACUAUGACAGAGACUCACCUACAGGAGUGAGAGUUCUGAGCCCCACAUCAGGCCCCAAUGCCUGGGGACCUGGCACUGGGAGAAAGAGCCCACCAGAGCUUCUGGCAUCGAUGGCCAGUGGGGCUUGUGCGCAGGAGAUCCAGGGGACUGAGGGAAACGGAGACCCCAUUUUUGAAAGGAGCACACAGACCUUCAUGUACACUGGGUCCCAGGGCAAAGCAGAGACUCCCUAGGAAUCUGGGUUGGACCUGACUGCAGUUCGUGGAGAAUCUCCUGGGAAAACAGGGGUGAAUGUGGCUCAUUGUGGGGGAAGGACAUUGGAAGCAAAGCUCUUGGGAAUCUUUAGCAGCAUGCCUUUCUCUGGAGGUGGCCUGUUUUUUGGGAAAAUCUGGCCCCACCCAUUGGUGCUGAGAAGCCCCAGGCCAAACAACAAUCCAGGUGGGAUCACAGCCCUGCCCAUCAGUAAACAGGCUGCCUAAAGACCCCCCAGGCACACAGCCAACCUUUAUUCUCACCCAGAGACAAAGCCCCACCCACCAGAGGGAUAGGAAUCAGCCCCACCUACCAAUGGGUAGGCACCAGUCCCUCCCAUCUGGAAGCCUACAGCAAGCCCCCAUACCAACUUCAGCCACAAGGGGGGCAGACACCAGAAGAAAGAGAGAGUACAACUCUAUAGUCUGCAAAAAGGAGAACACACCAAAAACCUAUAAAAAUGAAAAGGCCAAGAGCUAUAACUCAGGUAAGGGAGAAAGAAAACCCAGAAAAACAGCUAGGUGAUCUGGAGAUUAUCAGCCUCAAGGAAAAAGACUUUAGACUGAUGAUGCUGAAGAUGAUGUAAGACACUGGAAAUAAACUGGAGGCAAAGAUGGGUAACUUACAGGAAACACUGAGCAAAGAGAUAGAAGAUACAAAACUUAAGUAAGGAGAGAUGCAAAAUACAGUAACUGAAAUAAAAAAUUCAUUAGAAGCAGCCAACAGCAGAAUAUAGGAGGCAGAAUGAAUAAGUGAGGUGGAGGACAGACUAGUGGAAAUCACGGAUGCAGAACAGAAAAGAAAAAAAGAUUGAAAACAAAUGAAGACAGUCUCAGAGAACUCUGGGACAACGUUAAACACACCAACAUCCAUAUUAUAGCGGUGCCAGAAGGAGGAGAGAGAGAGAAGGGGACAGAAAAAAUAUUCAAAGAGAUAAUAGUCGAAAAUUUCUCUAACAUGGGAAAGGAACCACUCACUCAAAUCCAGGAAGCACAACGAGUACCAUAUAAUAUAAACCCAAGGAGGAGCACCCCGAGACACGUAUUAAUCAAACUGACCAAAAUUAAAGGCAAAGAGAAAAUAUUGAAAGCAGCUAGGGAAAAGAAACAUAACAUAUAAGGGAGCCCCGAUGAGGUUAUUGGCAGAUUUUCAGCAGAAACUCUGCAGGGCAGAAGGGAGUGGCAUGAUAUACUUAAGGUGAUGAAAGGAAAAAACCUCCAACCAAGAUUACUUUACCCAGCAAGGUGCUCAUAUAUAUAUAUAUACAUACACACACACACUCCUACAUCAAAACUUCAGGGAAACUGCAAACCAAACCUACAACUGAUACACAAAUACGAAAGAUUAACUCAAAUACAACACUAAAGACAGUCAUCAAACCACAAGAGGAAAGAACAAGAAGGGAAGAAAAAAGAGCAACAAAACCAAAUCUGAAACAGUUGAUAAAAUGGCAAGAAGAACAUACACAUCAAGAAUUACUUUGCACUGCAAAUGGACUAAAUGGCCCAACCAAAAGACAUAGACAGGCUGAAUGGAUACAAAAACAAGAUUCAUAUACAUGCUGUCUUCAAGAGACACAUUUCACUUCUGGGGACACAUACGAAUUGAAAGAGGAUGGAAGAAAAUAUUCCAUGCAAACAGGAAUCAAAAGAAAGCUGCAGUAGCAAUACUCAUAUCAGAUAAAACAGACCUUAAAAUGAAGAAUAUUUUAAGAGCCAUGGAAGGACAUUACAUAAUGAUAAAGAAUCAAUCAAAGAAGAAGAUAUAACAAUUUUAAAUAUCUAUGCACCCAACAUAGUUGCACAAUAUAUAAGGCAACUGCUAACAACCCUAAAAGGAUAAAGUGACAAUAACACAGCAAUAGUGGGGGACUUUGACUCCCCACUUACAGCAAUGGACAGAUCAUCCAGACAGAAAAUCAACAAAGAAACACGGGCCUAAAUCAAGCACUAGACCAGAUGGACCUAAUAGAUAUUUAUAGAACAUUCCAUCCAAAAGCAGCAGAAUACCGAUUCUUCUGAAGUGCACACGGACCAUCUCUAGGACUGAUCACAUUCUGGGCCACAAAACAAGUCUUGGCAACUUUAAGAAAACAAAUCAUAUCAAGCAUCUUUUCUGACCACAACACUAUAGAAGAUAUCAACAACAAAAACUGCAAAAACCAUAAACACAUGGAAACUAAACAGCAUGCUACUAAACAACCAAUGGAUCACUAAAGAAAUCAAAGAGGAAAUUAAAAAAAAAUACAUAGAAGCAAAUGACAACAAAGAUACAACACUCCAAAACCUAUGCAAUGUAGCAAAAGCAGUUCCAAGAGGGACAUUUAUAGCAAUAUGAGCCUACCUCAGGAAAUAAGGAAAAACUCAAAUAAACAGUCUAACUUUACAUCUAAAGCAGCUAGAGAGACAAGACCUAAAGUUAGCAGAAGGAAAGAAAUUAUAAAGAUUGGAACAGAAAUAAAUGAAAUAGAAAUGAAGAAAACCAUAGAAGAUACCAAUGAAACUAAAGGCUGGUUCUUUGAAAAGAUCAACAAAGUUGAUAAACCCUUAGCCAGACUUACCAAGAAAAAAAGAGAGGACUCAAAUCAAUAAAAUUAGGAAUGAAAAAGAAGUUACAAGGACAUCACAGAAAUAAAAAGGAUCAUAAGAGACUACUAUAUGCAACUACUUGCCAGUAAAACAGAAAACCUAGAAGAAAUGGACAAAUUCUUAGAAAAGCACAAUCUUCCAAGACUAAACCAAGAUGAAAUAGAAAAGAUGAAUGGACCAAUCACAAGAACUGAAAUUGAAACUGUGAUUUAAAAACCUCUAACAAACAAAAGUGCAGGCCCAGAUUUCCAUCAAACAUUCAGAGAAGAGUUAACAUCCAUCCUUCUGAAACUAUUCCAAGAAACUGCAGAGGAAGGAAUACUCUCAAACUCAUUCCACGAGGCCACCAUCACCCAAUCAAAGAUAACCACAAAAAAAAAAAUUAUGGGCUGAUAUCACUGAUGAACAUAGAUGCAAAAAUCCUCAACAAAAUAAUAGCAAACCGAAUGCAACAACACAUUAAAAGGACUGUACAUCAGGAUCAAGUGGGAUUUAUCCCAGGGAUGCAAAGAUUCUUCAGUAUUUGCAAAUCAAUCAUUGUGAUACACCACAUUAACAACUGAAGAAUAGAAACUAUAAGAUCCUCUCAACAGAUGCAGAAAAAGCCUUUGACAAAAUCCAACACCCCUUUCUGAUAAGAACCCUUUAGAAAGUGGGCAUAGAAGGAACCUACCUCAGCAUAACAAAAGCCAUAUAUGACAAACCCACAGCUAACAUAAUUCUCAAUGGUGAAAAGCUGAAAGAGUUCCCGAUGAGAAUAGGAACAAGACAGUGAUGCCCGCUCUUUCCUCUACCAUUCAGCAUAGUUUUGGAAGUCCUGGCCACGGCAAUCAGAAAAAAAAAAACAAAAGGAAAGAAAAGGAAUCGAAACUGGAAAGGAAGAAGUAAAACUAUCACUACUUGCAGAUGACAUGAUACUAUACCUAGAAAAUCCAAAGACGCUAGAGAAAACUGUUACAGCUCAUCAAUGAAUUUAGCAAAGCCGCAGGAUACAAAAUUAAUACACAGAAAUCAACUGCAUUCUAUAAACUAACAAUGAGAGGUCAGUUAGGGAAACAAUCCCACUUACUCUCACAUCAAAAAGAAUAAAAUACUUAGGAAUAAACCUACAUAAAGAGUCAAAAGACCUAUACUCUGAAAACUGUAAGAUGCUGAUGAAAGAAAUCAAAGAUGACACAAACAGAUGGAAAGACAUACAUACCAUGCUCUUGGAUUGGAAGAGUCAAUAUUAUCAAAAUGACUAUACUACCUAAGGCAAUCUACAGAUUCAGUGCAAUCCCUAUCAU